rnacentral:rRNA from 1 species
AUUGAACGCUGGCGGCAGGCCUAACACAUGCAAGUCGAACGAGUGGCGGACGGGUGUGUAAUGUCUGGGAACCUGCCUGAUGGCGGGGGAUAACUCCUGGAACCGGUAGCUAAUACCGCUUACCUUCCGAUUUUCCCUGAUGGGAUUAGCUAGUAGGUGGGGUAAAGGCUCACCUAGUCGACGAUCCCUAGCUGGUCUGAGAGGAUGACCGGCCACACUGGAACUGAGACACGGGCCAGACUCCUACGGGAGGCAGCAGUGGGGAAUAUUGCACAAGGGGCGAAAGCCUGAUGCAGCCAUGCCGCGUGUAUGAAGAAGGCCGUCGGGUUGUAAAGUACUGUCAGCGGGGAGGCGUUACCCGCAGAAGAAGCACCGGCUAACUCCGUGCCAGCAGCCGCGGUAAUUC